rnacentral:rRNA from 1 species
UACGUAGGGGGCAAGCGUUGUCCGGAUUUAUUGGGCGUAAAGAGCGUGUAGGCGGCCAGAUAGGUCCGUUGUGAAAACUGGAGGCUUAACCUCCAGCUGUCGAUGGAAACCAUCUGGCUAGAGUCCGGAAGAGGAAAGCGGAAUUCCAGGUGUAGGAGUGAAAUCCGUAGAUAUCUGGAGGAAUACCGAUGGUGAAGACAGCUUUCUGGCUCGUAACUGACACUGAGAUUCGAAAGCUUGGGUAGCAAACAGG